CAGCCGCCGCGGGAAUACGUAGGUCCCGAGCGUUGUCCGGAUUUAUUGGGCGUAAAGCGAGCGCAGGCGGUUAGAUAAGUCUGAAGUUAAAGGCUGUGGCUUAACCAUAGUACGCUUUGGAAACUGUUUAACUUGAGUGCAAGAGGGGAGAGUGGAAUUCCAUGUGUAGCGGUGAAAUGCGUAGAUAUAUGGAGGAACACCGGUGGCGAAAGCGGCUCUCUGGCUUGUAACUGACGCUGAGGCUCGAAAGCGUGGGGCGCAAACAGGAUUAGAUACCCCCGUAGUCCCUGUCUCUUAUACC
rnacentral:rRNA from 1 species